rnacentral:rRNA from 1 species
UGCCUUACACAUGCAAGUCGAGCGGCAGCGCGGGGGCAACCCUGGCGGCGAGCGGCGAACGGGUGAGUAAUGCAUCGGAACGUGUCCUCUUGUGGGGGAUAACCAGUCGAAAGACUGGCUAAUACCGCAUGAGAUCGCAAGAUGAAAGCAGGGGACCCGCAAGGGCCUUGCGCGAGAGGAGCGGCCGAUGCCUGAUUAGCUAGUUGGUGGGGUAAAAGCCUACCAAGGCGACGAUCAGUAGCUGGUCUGAGAGGACGACCAGCCACACUGGGACUGAGACACGGCCCAGACUCCUACGGGAGGCAGCAGUGGGGAAUUUUGGACAAUGGGGGCAACCCUGAUCCAGCCAUGCCGCGUGUGUGAAGAAGGCCUUCGGGUUGUAAAGCUC